rnacentral:rRNA from 1 species
AAACCAACAGGGAUUGCCUCAGUAACGGCGAGUGAAGCGGCAAAAGCUCAAAUUUGAAAUCUGGCUGCUUUUUUAGUAGUCCGAGUUGUAAUUUGAAGAAUAGAUCCUUGGAGAGGCGCCUUGUCUAUGUUCCUUGGAACAGGACGUCGCAGAGGGUGAGAAUCCCGUUUGGCGAGGUGUGCUGAUCCGUGUAAGGCUGUUCGACGAGUCGAGUUGUUUGGGAAUGCAGCUCUAAGUGGGUGGUAAAUUCCAUCUAAAGCUAAAUAUUGGCGAGAGACCGAUAGCGAACAAGUACAGUGAUGGAAAGAUGAAAAGAACUUUGAAAAGAGAGUGAAAAAGUACGUGAAAUUGUUGAAAGGGAAGGUUAUUAGAUCAGACUUGGAUUUUUUAUAUAUUUGUCUCCUUGUGGGGCAUUCACUAAUUUUUAAUCCAGGCCAGCAUCGAUUGGGAUGGCGGGAAAAAGAGGGAGGAACGUGGCUGUGCAUUUAUGUGCAGUGUUUAUAGCCUUUCUUAAUACCGCCUGUCUCGAUCGAGGACUGCGGCAAAUUUAUUUUUGCCUAGGAUGCUGGCGUAAUGAUCUAAUAUCGC